ACAGCACAGCAUAAGACCCUGAAUGUUUACGACUACAGUUUCACGCUUCUCAACUUUUUUUCUGGCACACUUCACUCCUCUCUGUUCACAAGAUCUGCCAACACCUGCUUACUACGCGCCGGAAAACACGUAGACCCUAAACAAAACAAAACAGGAUUGUUAUGCGCCCGCUUGAACAGAUAAAGAUUUUUAGGAAAUAGUUCUAGAUCACGUUAUGGGACGUCCCAAAUUGAGUAGGCUAGGUCUACUGUUAAAGGAGGGAGUACACUUCUUUCCCCACAGAUUAAAUGUUGAAGUGCUCUGCUGGAUUUAGUUAAAAAGUGUGUUUCUGUGGACAUUGCUUUAAUCUUGGAUCUUAAAGCUAAUAAUACGGUGCUUAUUCAAAAGAAGGGAACACUAGAAGAGACAAAUGGAGAGGAGGAGGGAUGAACAUUCACAAGCCACAGGAUCAAAACCAGCAAAUGUGGAGAAUCUUGUUAAAAGGAGGAGUAUGAGUCAACCUUGGUAUCUGAAAUUCUCUCAUGAUGCAGACAGACCAGAGAGUUAUCUCGAUGUAUCAGAAUCAAAGACGAGCAGAUCAUCUGAACACCAACCAGACAAAACUCUGUGAAUCUCUUACAUUUCUUCAGAUGGAGCUGAAAUAGUUAAUUGUUUCCAGUCCUGGCUUUAUCCAAUCAGGAGCUUCUUCAGCAGCUUGGGUUCAGAAAUCCACCUUUAUGUAGAAAGUAGAAAGUAUGUAAGUCUUGCCAGUUUACUCUUAACUGUAAAGGAGUUUUCCAUAUUGAUUUUUUUUACAGGUGUUUUAUUUUCCGUUGUUGUUUUUGUUGUUUAACAGUGUUUUCUGUGCACACACAGUGAGCACAUAUCAGACAUUACUGAACUGAUCUUAACUGAGUUACAAUAAAAUGUCUUGAAUGUAACUAGUUGGGAGAAAAACCAGAGACA